rnacentral:rRNA from 1 species
AUACGGAGGGUGCAAGCGUUAAUCGGAAUUACUGGGCGUAAAGGGUACGUAGGCGGUUAUGUCAGUCGGAUGUGAAAGCCCCGGGCUCAACCUGGGAAUUGCAUUUGAUACUGCAUAGCUAGAGUUUGCUAGAGGGGAGCGGAAUUCCCGGUGUAGCGGUGAAAUGCGUAGAGAUCGGGAGGAACACCAGUGGCGAAGGCGGCUCUCUGGACCAAAACUGACGCUGAGGUACGAAAGCGUGGGUAGCAAACAGAAUUAGAAACCCCGGUAGUCC